CAUAUCAGAGGUUCUGGAAAAACGGACCACCUCCAAGUCCUCUUUACAGCGUUCAGACGGUCUUCGUUUUCAUCAGUGACAACAUGUGUAGGUGCACAUUCAGUGAUAACCCGUAUUAACAGCCCACUCAUUCAGAAAGUCCUUUAGCAAAGCAAGAGUUAUUCCUGCAAUAAAGGCUUUGCUCUAUUUGAGGGAGUGAGUGAAAAAGAGAGAGUGAGCGAGAUCUACUUUGAGAGUUGAACUUCUUCAUCAAGCUCGGAUCAGAUUCUGCAGCAUGAGGCUAUACACACGGGUGACGGCCUGGACACAAACACUCGAUAUCCUACAUUGCAGACUCUUUAGUCUCAGAGAAAUCUUUCUCCACUUCUCCAGGUGUAUUUUCCUAAUAUUCCCGGGGGAGAGGAAUAAAGGUCACUGGCUUACAGUCAAACCAUUCACUUCAACUGGCAGCCCGAGCCGGUGCUGAGGGACUCCCUUCUCACUCCGCAAGGGCAGAUACGUAAAGAUGGGAAUAAGGAAAUUCCAAGGGAGAGGGUUCCAUGAGUUCUUUAUGUGACCCCACACAUCAGUUCUGAGCAAGAUGGAGUGCACACACCCCGCCCUGUCUCCCCCACUGAAUGUGGCUAUAAACCCUGGACGGCGCAAACAGAGCAGCUGUUUGAGGUCUCUGAAACGUAAACAGCAGCAGGCAGAUGAGGGAAGAUGACCAGAAUUUGAAACACCAGCAAACUGGUGCUCGUCGGUCACUUUGCCACGGGUGAGUCAUCUGCUCUGAGUCAUGCCUGGCUGAGACGGAAAGGCCAGGAGGAUGCCUCCAAACACACCUGGCUUACGAAAGGACAUCACGAGGGACACGGUCGGUGCCCAGGCACACGCUUUCCUAAGUAGACUAAAAAUUAAAAGAAAAAAAUCCCCUUUACUCUCUCUCACUCUUUUUCCUCGAAAUUUCCCAUUUCUCUCAGAAUUUGUUGGAGAUGAUUCCUAUGGGGAAUGGGUCUUGGUCACCCACUUUGGACUUUCAGAGGCAGGAGAACAUUUCUGGAAGGAGCCCAGAAAAACCCUGAGGACAAAAUCAGGUUUUUCUUACAUAAGGUUCUUCCUCGAAUGUAUGUACUACACGGACUGUCACACACGGGCCACCAUCGGACGGUUCCUCCUCUGAGAGCUAUGAAGAUACUGUUUACACAGGGACCACCAAACUGUACCUAAAACAAGGAAAGAUGAGAACCGUCCCAGACCAGAGGAGACUGGGGAGCUGUGACAACUAAACGCACCGUGGUCCUGGAACUGGGUCCUGGGACAGAAGGAGGAGCUGCCUGGAUCCGCGGGCCAGCUCUGCCCCUACGACGGGAGGCAAACCACUCUGCCUCUCCAGGCCUCAGCCUUCUCAUCUGUGAAACAGGUACGGCAGUGGUGGCUAGCCGUGGUGUUCUCGUGAGGGUUAAAGUGACAACCCACAGAGCACCUGGCACAUUGCUGGGCAUGGCAGAGGAAACCCGAUAAACAGGAGCUACAACAACUUUGCCCCCUCAGGGAGAAGGCAUAAACUGCACCCCGCUUCUUCCUCGAGUGUGCCGUCCUUGCCUCCUUGUCAGGGCCAACCCUGAAGUUUAAGGAGCUUGACUCUGAAAACCACCCCAUACAUAAAAGCUCUUUCCCCACCCUCUUGCCUCAAAGCCCCUAAGUUUACCAUUAUAGAUUCAUUUCUUCUAAGCACUUCCCUUCCAAAUGUAAAACUGCUGGCAGAGGUGUGUCAUCAGCUCUUGACACACGGGAACAGACCAGCCUAUGGGGUCCCCAUAGAAAGGGGUCCUGAAAAGGCAGGAGGAAGAAGGGAAAGUGGGGACGCAAGCUCAGCCCUCAGGGUGUGUGGGGGUGACGCUCGGGGACCUUCAAGGACAUUGGGUGUCUGGAAGGAGAUGCUGGUGGUGACAGUGCCACUGGAGGGGAGAGUGGGAAGCCGGAGGGGGACAGAGAAGGGAGCAACAGAAACUACUUUUCACUAGACCUCGUUCCGUGCCCUUUGAGUUUGGUAGCGUCUGCAUCAUGACCUAGGCAAAAUGAAUUAAAUUAAAUAAAGGAGGGGGGAUACUGGUCUCUGAGGGCGAAGGUGCAAGUUACUUCAGACACUCUGCUGGCAGCCCGCCCUGCUCUCACACUCUCCACCCCGCCCCCUCCCCCCAACGAGAAAAGCUGCCCCAUGAGCUCCUGGACGGCUCAUUCUGGGAACAGCAGCAAUACUUUUUCAGGGUCAAAAUUUGAGACACCAAAACCUUACACAAAAGCACUUCAGAACCGCUGGAGAAGCUCACCAAGGGAAAACGCAGCUUCCCCUAGUGUCGUGACCUCCCGUGAAAGCCGCUGUGUGAGGACUAACGCCGAGCGUCACGUGCAGCUGCACCAUUUGUUUCACCGUUGGACGUCAAUGAGCCACUCCUCCUCCACAAGGACCAGGUGAAGCCAAAUGCUGAGGAAGGAAAUAAUCCCUCCAGGGCCCCUGCAGAGGCAUCGGAGAAACCCCGCAUCCUGCCCUGGACUUGAGCUACUAGUAAGACCCAUCCACCAGCAGGCGGUAGGGGCGGGGGAGGCCGUGGACUUGGCAUUCAGAGCCAGGAAAAUCAUCCGGUCCGCACAACCUUGGGCCAACCACUCGAUUGCUGGGACCCUCACCCUUCUCACCUGUGACACAUAUAGAUCACCACUUACCUUGCCAGUUGUGGAAGCUUUAUACACAAAUAUCCAAAUCCAUGUCAUUACCCCUAAAAAUAACCCAGCACCUCCUGCUAGAUUUUCUCUGUAAAAUGUCCCCGGAUCUUGAAGUUGGAAGGUGUAAUGCAUGGACUUGUGUUCCCCUAAAAAGACACCUUGAAGUCCUAACCCCAGGAACCGUGAAUGUGACCUCAUUUGGAAAUAGGGUCUUUGCAGAUGUAAUUAGUGAA